rnacentral:rRNA from 1 species
GACGAACGCUGGCGGCGUGCUUAACACAUGCAAGUCGAACGGAAAGGCCCUGCUUUUGUGGGGUGCUCGAGUGGCGAACGGGUGAGUAACACGUGAGUAACCUGCCCUUGACUUUGGGAUAACUUCAGGAAACUGGGGCUAAUACCGGAUAGGAGCUCCUGCUGCAUGGUGGGGGUUGGAAAGUUUCGGCGGUUGGGGAUCGACUCGCGGCUUAUCAGCUUGUUGGUGGGGUAGUGGCUUACCAAGGCUUUGACGGGUAGCCGGCCUGAGAGGGUGACCGGCCACAUUGGGACUGAGAUACGGCCCAGACUCCUACGGAAGGCAGCAGUAGGGAAUAUUGCACAAUGGGCGGAAGCCUGAUGCAGCAACGCCGCGUGCUAGAUGACGGCCUUCGGGUUGUGAACCGCUUUCGCCUGUGACGAAGCGUGAGUGACGGUAAUGGGUAAAGAAACACCGGCUAACUACGUG